UACGUAGGGGGCUAGCGUUGUCCGGAUUUAUUGGGCGUAAAGAGCGCGUAGGCGGCCGAGUAAGUCCGACGUGAAAUCUGGAGGCUCAACCUCCAGCGGUCGUUGGAAACUACUCGGCUAGAGUCCGGAAGAGGAGAGUGGAAUUCCUGGUGUAGCGGUGAAAUGACGCAGAUAUCAGGAAGAACACCGAUGGCGAAAGCAGCUCUCUGGGACGGUACUGACGCUGAGGCGCGAAAGCGUGGGGAGCGAACAGG
rnacentral:rRNA from 1 species